rnacentral:lncRNA from 1 species
UGCAUUGUUAUUUUUUUCAGAUUUGAGCAAGAUAGACUUCGUCUCAAUUCUCAAAUUGAACGUUUAUUUCAAGAAGAUGAAUUAAAAAAUUUCACGGAUAUAAAAAAAACCUGGAUAAAUCGUGUUUAGCCAAAGGCAUUAAUGUAAUAUAUAAUGAAGAUUUCGUCAUGUUUUAUGCCUUAUCAUAACAGGAUCGUGUUCCUUACAUUUUGUUUGCUUUAAAAGUGAAUAAUGACCUCUCUUUCUCAAUUUUUUCAAGAGGACUUCCUAUACCUAUUGUCGAAGUGAAUCGUAUAUGUUCAUCAAAGAGUCUGAUAUCAAUAACAUUUUAGCAUAUUUAAAAAAUAAACAGAAUGAACUUAAACUAUAAUUCAAGCAUAAAGUAUGCCAUUUGAGAUAUUGGAAGAAGCAGUACAUCAUCAAGACUUUAAUGAGAAAAAUCAUAUACGAAGAUACUCUCCUGAAUUUUUAGGAAUUUCAAUACUUUGGCACAAUACAAGACCAGUUUUAUAUAAUCAAAUUAAAGAAUAUGGAAUUAUUUACUUGCCAUCUGAAUCGCACAUAAAAAGAAUAACAAGUAUGUUCUCCGUUGAAGGAGUUCCAGUUUCAACAUUUGAUAAUUUAAAAUCUAGAGUUAAAUUAUUGGAAGAAAAAUACAAUUAUGUUUCUAUAAUAAUUGGCAAUGUUUAUUCCUCACAAAGAGUUGAAUUUAGUGGUAGCAUUUUUUUUUGGAUGUGAUAGGAAUGGAAACUAUUCUAAAACCAUACUUUGUUUUAUGGUGAAGAGUGUACUUGGGAAAUACAGUGACAUGGUAGCUAUGGUAACAAUCACAAAUAUUAAAUCUUCCAUAAUAAAACAAUAUUAUAUGGAAGUUCUUGAAGAAGUUACCAAAGUUUACCUACAAUCCGUUGCAAGAUUACGGAUACGCAUACCUCAAACAGAAAGUUCUAUCUGGAUGAACUAGGAAAUUGAAUUUUUCCUAGAUAUAUACUGAACCCUUUUUCUACUUCCGAAAGAAAAAUAUUUGUUAUUCGAUUCGGAGGAUGUUAUUCUUGAAGCCGAAUUUGGGAGUGUGAGCCAAAUCUUCUACAUGGAGCUAGGCCAGGGAUUUAAAUUAGCUCACAAGCUUAAUCAUAAAGUUUUUUCACGAGUCUUUCUCAAUGGAUGAAUUGGGAAAAUAUUAAGAAUUAGACUCCUUUGUUAAUGAAAUUAAUAGAGGUGGUCUAAAAAAGCUCAGUGAUGUAAUCUGUCUUCUUGGAGGACAUCUCUAUGAAGUGUUACAACAUAUUUUUUUCAUAUAAUGAAUGGCGAAAUGUUAUUUUAUCUAUGGCUACUCCAAGAAAUGUUUUGUAAAAGGCGCAUGAAGAUUUUUUACUUCUGAUCAAACUACAUCAUGGUUUGAAAAAUCUUCAUGCAGUAAUAAUCAU